CUCACACAGUCCCACCCCCGGCAUCUGCUUAGCGAGACUUUCGGAGGAGUCAAGGGAUUCCUUGAUCGCGUUAGGCAAAAGUUUCAAAAAUUUCCAGAGGCUGAUCCAAAUUUGCAGCCCCUCAGGGGUGAAGACAGAGAGAAAACUUCAAUCCCUCACUUCCAUUUCUUUUGGAGGGAAGAGGAAUGACACUUCUGCAGGAAUUCUCUGAUUAAUGAAAGCACAAGGUUGUGUUCAAACCAGUGCUAUUUGGCCCUGAAAGCAAACAGCAGAAAUCACCUUAAGAACCGACUAGACAUUUUUAUGGAGUGGAAGAAGUGAGGGAGACAGCAACAUAUCAGAUGGGUUGGACUAAAAUCAAACUUCAAAGAUCGGGAACCAGCAUUGACCAGUGAAUUUAAUUACAGAAGAUAGUUGUUCGUCAUCUAAACUCCACAUAGAACGCCAGACUUUCUAUGGCUAAGCAGCUAGAAUGGAGGAAGAUGUGAUGACUCCAUGGCCAGGUUUUUGUGUGUGCACUGCUUGUGCCAAAGUGCCAGAUUUCCAGUCUCUGCUGGUAGACUCUUCAUCCUCGAGACAAAGGACAAUGUGAUGUAGCCUCAUGCUAUGGGUUUUGAAUAUGUGACCUUGCAUACCCCUAAUGGUGUGUCAUGACUCACUGUAGAGUUAGUCUCAAAUCAAUCCUACCCUUUGUUGUGGCCGUGGGCAAGGAAGGUGGUAGGAGCAGUCAUCUAGGUUCUCCAUUGACUGCAAUGGAAACAUUUAACAGAGGCCACCUUUUUUUGGCAGAGUUUAACAUCACACCCUGAGGCUGUUCUCAUGAGCAACCAAGCCUGGGUUUAGCUGUCACUGAGAACUGCCAGGAUUCACAUGGAUCCCUGACAUGGCACCAAACCCAGCUUUCAAGCCCGGCCUUUAGCAGGGCUUAAUGGACCAAUUGCACCAUUAACCCAGGCUCUGGAAUUGUGUGUCAGCGUGGGUUACCAGCGUGAGCGCCCAUCCCCUGGGAGAUUCAUCUAUUGUGGGAUUCCCCCAAUGCACCACGCUCAUCACGCAGUGCUUGGGGGAUUCCCCCGGCCUCUGGAAUGCUGUGCUGGUCAUUGCUGUGGUGAUUGUGUGCAUGGUGGUGUAGUUGGUGCUGGUCUGGGAUCGUCUGUGGGGAAGGGAAGCUUAAACCUGUCUUUCCCCCACCCGCCCGUGUGACAGUGUGAAAGGUGCCCCCUGGGUGUGAACCAACUUAUGGGUAAACAUAAGAUUCCAACUAACUUCUGUUAUUCUGCCACUGUAUCCUCCAGCUUGAUCUGGUUCCUUAAGGGAUCCUACCAUAGGUGCAAGAGUACAUUAUACUGCUAUCAUUCUUUCCUUUCAGCAUAGUGUUAAACUCUGCCAGUGCAAUGGGAGUUAAGGAGUAAUUCUAUCCCACACAGCAAACACAAAACACGGAUGAGGUGCUUGCAAAGUGUUUAAAGUUACAGGUUUUGUUUUUGUUGUGAUUACAUUUUCAUUUAGCAAAAAUAAUGUUGGCUAUAUAAUAAACUUAAAUCUGUCCAA